CGCGGGGUGGAGCAGUCUGGUAGCUCGUCGGGCUCAUAACCCGAAGGUCGCAGGUUCAAAUCCUGCCCCCGCAACCG
rnacentral:tRNA from 1 species